UACGUAGGUGGCAAGCGUUGUCCGGAAUUACUGGGCGUAAAGCGCGUGUAGGCGGUUGCCCAAGUCGGGUGUGAAAGCCUUGAGCUCAACUCAAGAAAUGCACUCGGUACUGGGUGACUAGAGGACCGGAGAGGAUAGUGGAAUUCCCAGUGUAGUGGUGAAAUACGUAGAGAUUGGGAAGAACACCAGUGGCGAAGGCGGCUAUCUGGACGGUUUCUGACGCUAAGACGCGAAAGCGUGGGGAGCAAACAGG
rnacentral:rRNA from 1 species